GCCGUCACGUUGUCCACGGCCAGUGACGGCCGGUUCGAACUCGGCCUCGGUUCGGGGUCCUGGCCGCAGGAGUUCUUCCGCUUCGGUGUCGACG
rnacentral:tRNA from 1 species